UCAAAGUUCAGAUUUGACUUAGUGGCGGACGGGUGAGUAAUGCAUGAGCAACCUGCCCUGCAGUGGGGGACAACAGUUGGAAACGACUGCUAAUACCGCAUGAUGUAUCUGGAAGGCAUCUUCCGGGUACCAAAGAUUUAUCGCUGAAAGAUGGCCUCGCGUCUGAUUAGCUAGUUGGUGAGGUAACGGCCCACCAAGGCGACGAUCAGUAGCCGGACUGAGAGGUUGACCGGCCACAUUGGGACUGAGAUACGGCCCAGACUCC
rnacentral:rRNA from 1 species